rnacentral:lncRNA from 1 species
ACUUGGCUUUCCACUCUGGAGGACAGGUUCGAAUCUCGGGUCCCACUCCUUCAAAAUAUUUAUCGGGAUUCGCCGGCGUCGAUCCCCGUCUCCACAAUCCGGCUGAUUCCUCCGCAGGGGUGAACAGGCUGUGGAAGGGCUCGUUUCGCCCCGCCACUUUCCAUUCAGAAAGUGAAUGGAAAGUGGCGUCAUCUGUUGACAAAAAAAAAAAAAAAUACAGUGUGUGUUCGAGCAAAUUUGAGACGAUUUUACGUAUAGUUUUUGUUCUUAAGAACGCAAUGAUGAAUUCCGUUUGUGUAUUUGAUACGAUGACCAUCCUAUGCACUAACCAUUCUACAUUUUUGCUUCCAUGCUUCAAAAACCGAUCGACAUUUUUCAGGGAUAAUUUUUGGAAACUUUCCAGAGUCCUGGCAGUAUAUGGGUUUUUGUCAAGAAAAGGGUUAGCUUUAAAUAACCAAAGCCGAAGUAAUCGAUUGGCGAGAUGUCUGAGGACUUGGCGGGGAUCAGUUCAUUCGGGAUAUUAUUUAGACCUGCGGUUGAUUUCAUUGUUCCAAAUAAAAGCUGGGUAAACUUCGCGGUUUGACUCGAAGCCUUGUCACGGUAAAUGUUUUUAUCCAGUUAUUCCGGAUAAAGCAAUGGGAUAUCUGUUUCCACAUAUCGUCUGAGCAUUUUCUCCCCAUUGUACCUUGCAUCUACUUUAAUCAAAGGGCCAAAGAAUGUUAAAGGGAGGCAUUCCUCUAACAAUCAUGAAUACUUCAGGUCAUCUUUCAUUGCAGUGUGUUAGCCAUUCUUCGGGUAACUCGUCUCUUAAUCACGCGUACAUAAUUUUUCGUUCUCUAAUACAGUAACUUAAAUAGAUAUAUGCUUCGUCUAAAAUCGCCAUAAACUCCGCCCUAUCACCCGCUAGUUUUCAUAGAUUUUCUAGCAUUUGUUUUGCGGUUUUGACAACCAAAAGACUUUAGUUUGUGGAACUUGGUAUUUCUCUUGAUUCUAGGUCUAAAUCUUUGUGAAUAAUUAUAUUAACAAUUGCAUCUGAUUGACUGGAUUCUGACAACUUACGAGGUUUUUCAAUUUUCUGAUAUUAUUGUUGGGAUUCGAGCAGUUUUAGGUUUAGCACAAAGCUUCGAGUUUUUACCUGUUAAUUUAGCUUUUUUUUUUUUGCUUAAAUUUUGGAUAUUAUAUAUAUAGUACUUUUAGAAAAAGAAAAUUUUCGA